UACAGAGGGGGCAAGCGUUGUUCGGAAUUACUGGGCGUAAAGGGCGCGUAGGCGGCCUUCUAAGUCGAACGUGAAAUCCCCGGGCUCAACCCGGGAACUGCGUCCGAUACUGGAAGGCUUGAAUCCGGGAGAGGGAUGCGGAAUUCCAGGUGUAGCGGUGGAAUGCGCAGAUAUCAGGAGGAACACCGGUGGCGAAGGCGGCUCUCUGGACGGUGACUGACGCUGAGACGCGAAAGCGUGGGGAGCAAACAGG
rnacentral:rRNA from 1 species